AGUUUUGAGCUAAAUAUAUUUAUAAUAUUAGUUAUUUAUGAAGGUGUUGUAAAACCUUAUUUAAAAUUAUAUUUAGGGGUGAUAGGCCUUUCAAAAACUAAGAUAUCUUGAAUCUAAUUAAAAGUAUAUAGUACAUUUAACACAGCUAUUAAGUGAUUAGGCUUUAUAGAAUUAUUAAUUUAUAAGAUUUUAUUUACUAUAAUUUAAUAAUUAAGUACAUUAAUAUAUUAAUAUAUAUAUAUUAUAGUUUAUAAAAGAGUAAUUAGAUAGAUUUAAGUUCAUAUUUUUUAUAAUAAUGUUAAUAUUAGUAUUAAGUUUAUAUUUAUAUGAUGAACUCGGCAAAAAUACUUCUCAACUGUUUAUCAAAAACAUAACUAUGUGAAUGAAUACAUAGCGGUUUCUGCUCAA
rnacentral:rRNA from 1 species